rnacentral:rRNA from 1 species
CGGUCCUAAGGUAGCGAAAUUCCUUGUCGGGUAAGUUCCGACCUGCACGAAUGGCAUAAUGAUGGCCACACUGUCUCCUCCUGAGACUCAGUGAAGUUGAAAUGUUUGUGAUGAUGCAAUCUCCCCGCGGCUAGACGGAAAGACCCCAUGAACCUUUACUGCAGCUUUGCAUUGGACUUUGAACCGAUCUGUGUAGGAUAGGUGGGAGGCAGUGAAGCUAGGACGCCAGUCUUAGCGGAGCCAACCUUGAAAUACCACCCUGAUUUGUUUGAGGUUCUAACCUAGGAGCGUAAUCCGCUUCGGGGACCGUGCAUGGUAGGCAGUUUGACUGGGGCGGUCGCCUCCUAAAGGGUAACGGAGGAGUGCGAAGGUACGCUAGGUACGGUCGGAAAUCGUGCUGAUAGUGCAAUGGCAAAAGCGUGCUUGACUGUGAGACCGACAAGUCGAGCAGAUACGAAAGUAGGUCAUAGUGAUCCGGUGGCUCUGCAUGGAAGGGCCAUCGCUCAACGGAUAAAAGGUACUCUGGGGAUAACAGGCUGAUACCGCCCAAGAGUUCAUAUCGACGGCGGUGUUUGGCACCUCGAUGUCGGCUCAUCUCAUCCUGGGGCUGUAGCCGGUCCCAAGGGUAUGGCUGUUCGCCAUUUAAAGAGGUACGUGAGCUGGGUUUAAAACGUCGUGAGACAGUUUUGUCCCUAUCUGCCGUGGGCGUUGGAAGAUUGACGGGGGCUGCUCCUAGUACGAGAGGACCGGAGUGGACUCACCUCUGGUGUACCGGUUGUCACGCCAGUGGCAUCGCCGGGUAGCUAUGUGGGGAAAGGAUAACCGCUGAAAGCAUCUAAGCGGGAAACCUGCCUGAAGAUAAGUCUUCCUGGAGGCUUUGACCUCCCUGAAGAGUCGUUCGAGACCAGGACGUUGAUAGGUUGGAUGUGCAAGCGCUGUGAGGCGUUGAGCUGACCAAUACUAAUUGCUCGUGAAGCUUGAUCCU